CUCGGGCAACUGAUUUCGUGCCGCAAAUUCCGAUGCCGAUUGGAUUGAGUCCCUCUACAUCAUUUACAAAGUUACCAAUAUGGAACAAAUGGUGUGGAGGCAGGCUCUAUAUAUAUAUGCUGCAGGUGAUGAACAUCCAGCGCUGUGGGUCAAACUGAACGGAUCUUGGAAGCAAACAAAGAGCUGGUUAUAUUUGUACCUUACGAGGAAAACAACAGGGCGUGUUUCCUAUGGUGUUGUGGGACACUGUUAGCUGAGCCUAGUUGGCAAAGUUAGGAAGUGCUUUUGGCUAGUUGUUGAUAAGUUACAGUUGGACCACUAAAGAAAAUUUCCUGGUAUUCUGUAAUGUUGAAACUUUUGGAAUGGAGCAAGCACCCCCAGAUUCUUCUCAACCAUUUACUCUGAUGUGUACAGACCCUUCCUAUGGACUGGUUUUGUCCACUUCAUCCAAGAACAAUCUGUGGUGUGUGUUAAUUUGUUGGUUUGUUGUACAUCCUGUCCUUAGAUUGAAAUGUUGUGAUUUGUACUAGAUUGCUAAAAAACUUUGUUCCUUUUUUCCUUCCUGAAAGAGUAAUGAUCAUAGGUUUCGUAGUCAAAGCAUGGAAAAAGGUGUCAAUGUCAUAAGGAAAUAAUACAGUUAGCUAGUUUAGUUUUUCCAAAUUAACUCCUGAAAUAGGUGUAUCUUAAUGCUGACCACAUGUUUGUGCAAAUGUGAACAGCAUAGCUGGAACCAUUAAUGUAGCAUCUGGAGGUAAUCUGUGAUGUAAUUAUCAUGUCAGGGUAUAUUCUUUUAGUUGUUGAGUUCAAGUAAGAUUUGUUGUAAUGGCAUGUGGAGGAUCCAACAUUCCAACCCCUUGGUCAUCUCAGCUAAUUAAUGCGGAUUUGAUGGUCUGUAAACUCCAAGAUAUUUGUCAAGUUUGGAUUCACUAAAAUAAGUUGCUACCUGCUAAAAAAAAAGCUCUAGUUGAUCCAAACAGCCAAGCUUAUUGUCUAGCUUAUAACUCAUUUUGAACUAUUCAAUCACUCAGCUUAUACAAAGUUAUUAGCUGUCUCCUCCAGCUGUUGAAGCUUAUAAAAAGUUUAGCUGAUCCAAAUAGGGCCUAGUCCUUCCUUGUGCUCUGAUGUCUAGCAUUUACAUCCACCAGGCUUUAUCCUUUAGCCAGUGCACUCAUUGGGUUCCCUGUCUUCUUGGGACCAUAGAACAGACUGUGUCUCCAUUAUUGUGAUUUCUGUCUGAAGUUUUAGCUGUAUACAAUCUUAUUUGAAGUUCUGUCUUGUUUUCAUUUCUUGCUGAAUCAGCCAGUCUUGUUCAGAGGGUACACACUUGAUAUCUCAUGAAGGUGGGCCCAGAUCUAGAUUACAGGCAGAGGAAACAAACCUUUUCAGUACAUUAAUCGAUUUUAAUUUCCAUUUUGUAACUAAAUAAUUAAUCUAUCAUUUACUUUUCUUAUGAUUGUGCUGCUUGGGUAGUGCUUACUUUUUGAAAGAUGCUCACUGCCCACAUCACAUGCCCAUGCAGGUUAUUAUAAUUGCUGCAAAAAAAGAGUAUUUAAGUGUGUGACAUGUGUAAGUGGUGCUUAUAUUGGUGGUAGGAUAUGCAGCUAAUCUGUAACUGAUAAUAAUGCAUCUUAUUUUGUUUAUCUUCUGCAAGAUUGAUCAGUUUUUUUUAACAUUUGGUUAUUCAGUUUUUAUUUACUACUUGUCAGUUCUGUGUUCUGAAACUUCAAUCUUGAUGUCCUGUACCCUUUCUCUUAAGAUUUUAGUUUUGACAGAAGGUAAGGUGUAUCUUUGCCUAGAGCCCUAUAUCAUAUUCUGUUCAAGUCUUCUCUCUGGAGUCUAGAACCAGAGUAUACAUGCGAAAAUCUCCUUAACUCCUUUUCCAGAAAAUAAAAGUUGUUCUGAACUUGUCUAUAUUUAGGAAACAUUAGCAGCUAAAAUUGUAAAUUUAAUAUCCGAAUUUGCCACUUUUCCAUCAUUAGGAAACUGCAUGUGUUUUUUUCCUGAAAGAGAUAGGCAUUAGACAUUCAUUAGCUAUUUGCUUGUUAUUUUUCAUGGGCCUGGUGAUAGUCACCAGGCUAACCAUAAAGUCUCUGUCUGGUUAGUUCUCCAUAUAUUGAAAUGGGUUCGAUUCCAUCUACCUGGGAUGUCAACAUUCCCCUUGCUCCUCGUUCUUUCUAGUUUCUGAUAUAUUUCUAGUUGAUUCCUUUGUAUUGCUCCUUCCCUAAUCUCUUUGCUUACAAACUUGUUUGAGUCUACUAUACGAACUGUUGAUUGAUUGUGAUUAUUUUUUACGAUUUCAUAUCAAGAAAGCUCAACUGCACUUUGCAUCGACUUGCUCAACACUAUUUUUUUUUAUAAAAAAACUCUUUAUAAUAAACUAGUAGAUUGCAAUCAGGCCAUGGACAGGCUUUUGCAUAGGCGAUUUUGUGCACACUGUAGUCUUAAUAAAUUUUGCACAGAUGGUACUACACUUUUUCAGUACUUUGGUAUCCCAAACUGGCCACUUUUCUGGACAAUUGAAACCAUCGCAGGACCAAAGUUUAGCUCUAUCCUUGUGUUGUAUUGUGUUUUCAACAUCUUUCUGUUGGAAUGUACCCUGCAUUAUCACAGGUGACCAUGUGAGGGUGGGGAGCUAUGAAGUGGCGGUCCUUGCAUGCAUGUGCAUGCAUGUGUCUAUUAUCUCCUUUCUUGUUGCAUCUUUCAAAUAGGUAUGAUGUAUCUUGCUUCUUUUUUCUUGUUGGAGACCUUUAGAGGGAGCUCACUCUCAUAAUGAGCUAGUGGCAACGUUAUUGCAAUUAUGCUCAAAUGUCACUGGGAACUGUCUCACAUGGGUAGUAUCAUUAUGACACAUAGAAGAUACUGGCUAGAUCCCAAUGGACGCUGGGUGUAGUUUGGAUUCAACUUGUUAGUUGAUGAACUACCUAUUUAGUGUUUAACCAACUGCUAAUUCCAGGUAAAGUGAAAGUUACUUCUGAAACUUAAGAUAUUGAGGGUUAAAUUCCUGUAGAGUGGUCGAUUUCUAUCUUCAAAUCAUAAGUGCAUCAGUUCCAUUCUGACUAGUUAUUUUCGGUGAGCUCUUCUUUGGCUUUAGAUUCUGUACUUUUGCUUGGUCUUAUCUAAUUCUGUUACUUAUUUGUUAUUUUGUGGCUUAUAUGAUUUGCUCUCAGAGCACUGUUGUUCCAUCAUCAGCAUUCUGGAAUUGUUUGUUUGCCCAUAAAAGGCACAAUUUUAUGUUCCCUUUAUGGUAUCAUGAUUCUAUUUGUAGACCAUUAUAUUUGAUAUAUUAUGAAUAUUCGCAGUGGCUUCUAGUAAUUCUACCUUCUGCUAUUCUGCAACCUUCUUCUGUCUAGAAAUAUAAGGCAUAUUUUGACUAUCUAAAAUUCGAGUUUGAUGAACAAAUUAAUAUAUGAAUAUAUGAGUUAUUUGACUUGAAAUUGAUAUCAUUGGGUUCAUUUUAAAUAGUACUCCUUGUGACUAAAGUAUUACUCCAUAAGAGAAAUUGUGGUCAAAGGUCACGUUUAGACAGUCAGAACUCAGAACACGCCCUAUAUUUCUGGGGGUAUGGAGUAUUUUCAUGGUUUGACAGAAAUUACAAGGUUUGAAGCUGCCGCAUAUUUGCAUAUCUUGCGAUGCUAAAGUUCUGGCUACGAGCUGUAACUUGUAUAUAACUCUUCUGUCUUUGUCAACAUAUGAACUGUCACGCGUCAAUUCACGAUGAAUGGGCACCCGAUCAUGGUUGGUCUAUCAGUAACUGUGGUUCCAUGCUCGACAGGUCCCAUUCGCAGUACAGGUUCUUCAAGGAGAUGAAGCGGAAUUUGCAAAGGUGACAGCACCGCAGAAAAAACGAACCGAUGUGGAUGAAUAUGUUGGGAGCACGGUAUAUAUAAUUGAAAUGGAGGGCUUAAUUUCAGCGAUAAGUUCCCCCACGAUAAGUUCGCCCACAGCCUCCGCAUCACUUAGCUGAUGAUGUGUUCAAAGGGGCCCGCGUUGGAAGUUAGAGCCAGCAAGUGGUGGACUUUGCUACCUCGAAGCCCCAAUAGGCCAAUAGAGAUCCUUAGCUGAUGAUGUGCCUCAGUUUACUGCACAGUGCACACCAAAUUGGAGGGUCUCGCAUCCAGUCGGCAUAGGUUUACUUUUUCCCGAACUCCAUAAACCUGUUGUCAUUUGGCCAUUGACGCUAUCUUUCCUCAGGAUGUGGAGUUAGGAGUAGGUGCUAGAUGUGUCUGAAAUCAUUAUAUAUAUAUAUACACAAGUGUUAUUCUACACCCUAGGUGUAGAAUACUAUUCUACACCAACCUAUUGUACCGAACCAAAUUCAGUAUUGUUCAAUACUUGUGUUUUAGUAUUUUUCAGUAUUUCAGGGUCCUAGGUGUAGUCAUGAAUGAUACUGAACGUUGUUCAGUACUCCUCAGUAUUUUUUCAACUCAAUUUUGACUUGUGGUGUAGAAUAAUAUUCUACACCUAACGUGUAGAGUAGCGCUACCGUAUAUAUAUACGGGAGAAGGAUGAUCUGGAGGAUGACCAAUGGUAAAUUUGGAUGCAGUUAUGCAGAACAGUGGCCGUGAGUGGGUCGGCAACUCUAGGAGUAGGAAGGGAUUAUGCCAUAUCUCCUGGUGGGGGGGAGCCCUCCCUGAAAACGACCCCCACCGGCCGUAUCUCAUCGUUGCAGUUGAAGUUGCAGGUGCGGCUUGGCGGUUCUUCUCCUGAUUUGGAUUCGCCCAAAGGCCAGAGGGGAGAAGGAAGGCAGGCGCAGCAGGCAGCAAUAGACAAUAGUGGAGGUGGCACUGGCGGGUGGUCGGUGUGCCUUCAGGUGGCGCCUCCAUGCUUCGCCUCGCGAGGAUCACGAUUCACAAGUGCGGCUGUGAGAGGGUUGGCACGAAACAAUGGCGCCAGCUUAGCGUAGUACUACGUACUGCCAGCGGCAUAUCGGGACCCAUAACCUCAAUGAUCAAUUGUCCAUGUCUGGAAGUUGUUGGGUCUGGGAGUUGGAUUAGUGAUUUGUUUAUACUUGUUUAAUGCAGGGAACGCUUGCACGUGUGUUCUCCACAAAGGUUGCUGCUAAUUAGUACAUGUUCAUACUACAGGAUGGCUUUAUAUGGUCCACAUCAUGGGCUCGGCACUUGCAAAAA